UGGUGAAUCUUCCGCAAUGGGCGACAGCCUGACGGAUCAACGCCGCGUGAGUGAAGACGGCCUUCGGGUUGUAAAACUCUGUGAUUCGGGACGAAAGAUAAGCAGACGAAUAAUCUGCAUAAGUGACGGUACCGAAAAAGCAAGCCACGGCUAACUACGUGCCAGCAGCCGCGGUAAUACGUAGGUGGCAAGCGUUGUCCGGAAUUAUUGGGAGUAAAGCGCGCGCAGGCGGCUACUUAAGUCCAUCUUAAAAGUGAGGGGCGUAACCACGUGAUGGGAUGGAAACUGAGAAGCUGGAGUGAGGGAGAGGAAAGUGGAAUUACUAGUGUGGCGGUGAAAUGCGUAGAGAUUAGGAAGAACACCGGUGGCGAAGGCGACUGUCUGGACGAGAACUGACGCUUAGGCGCGAAAGCGUGGGGAGCAAACAGG
rnacentral:rRNA from 1 species